ensembl:snRNA U6 U6 spliceosomal RNA
CUGCUCUCUUCAGCAGCGUAUAUGCUAAAACAGAAAUAACACAGGAAAAAUCAGCAUGACCCCUGCACAAGGGUGACAGGAAACCCACGAAACAUUCACAUUUUAA